GAUGAAGAACGUAGCGAAAUGCGAUAAGUAGUGUGAAUUGCAGAAUUUAGUGAAUCAUCGAAUCUUUGAACGCACAUUGCGCCUUUUGGUAUUCCGAAAGGCAUGCCUGUUCGAGCGUCAUAAAACCUAUUCAAUCCCCAGCUUUUUGUUGUUAUAAAAAUAUCUUAACAAGGAGAUGUUGGUGAUUUGCUAUUGAGGGAUGAGGGGGAUUUAGUUUUUCUCUCACCCUUGAAUUAUAUUGGCGGAUAUCGUAAAUUUUUUGUUUCUGGCAAAAGGACGGUAGUAGUAAAUAGAUUUAUAUUCUUCUUACCUUCUUGUUUGUUAGAAUGAAAAUUUAAUAUUGUUCUAGCCACUUAAAGAUAUAUAAAUUUUUUAUUUGUUUUGACCUCGAAUCAGGUAGGGAUACCCGCUGAACUUAAGCAUAUCAAUAAGCGGAGGA
rnacentral:misc_RNA from 1 species